AAUGGUAGGGGAGCGUCCCGUCCAGCCGUGAAGGAGGAGCGGAAGCGAAUCUGGAGCGGGCGGGAGUGCGAAUGUCGGCAUGAGUAGCGCGAGGGGGGUGCGAAUCCCCCCCACCGAAUGCCCCAGGGUUCCGCAGCCAUGCUGAUCAACUGCGGGUGAGUCGGGCCUAAGCCGAGGCCGCGAGGCGUAGGUGAUGGACAACAGGUUCAGAUUCCUGUACCGCUCGGAAGUGUUUGAGCGAUGGGGGGACGCAGGAGGGUAGGUCCGGGGUCGCAAGGCCUCCAAGCCGGUAGGGAGCGCGGAUAGGCAAAUCCGUUCGCGCGUUGACCGAGGGGUGAUGGGAAGGCGCGGGGUUCGCCCCAAGCCGCACGGAUUGAGCCCAAACUGCCAAGAAAAGCCUCUAGUGAGCGACCGAGCGCCCGUACCGCAAACCGACACAGG
rnacentral:rRNA from 1 species